UCAUUUACUUGGACUAGAGAAGAACACGUGACAGAUAUUUAGGGUAUAGGUUACUGUGUUUUGGCAUUUACAAAACAGGAAAACGGCAAACCACAAACACGUUUAGUGUGAUGUGAUGCAUCUGCUUUAAAACAAUCUGCAAAAUCCAUUGGCUUUACAAGUGGCUUCUGGACCAACGUUAAAAACAUUGCAUUUGUUCUGUCUCAUUAAUAUCAGUUAUUUCAUUCAAAUGUGAUUAAAACGUUGAUAUCUGAAAAAUGUUUGACAAAGAAAUAUCCUUCUACAGACUAGCUAGACUACAUGCAGGCUGGCCUAUUUUCAGAUAAGAAAUAGCACAGAUAAUGACAUAUUGCGUCUCUAAAUGUUUGAAAUGCUUGAAAACAGUAAGCCCUCAUGACACGUGUUUAUAACUCUAGGUUAAGCCUACUUGAGAAACUGGUUUCACGGCACAUCAAAUCAACCCUUCCCCCCACAUUUGACUCGCAUCAGUUUGCUUACAGAGCAAACAGGUCCACGGAAGAUGCCAUCGACGUAGCCCUCCACACCGCACUGAGCCACCUGGAACUCCGUGGAACCUAUAUAAGAAUGCUCUUCAUUGACUACAGCUCAGCUUUUAACACUAUCAUCCCUGACAUACUAGUCAGCAAACUAACUGCACUAGGCCUCUCCCCCUCCAUCUGCACCUGGAUAAAGGACUUCCUCUCAAACCGCCCACAAACUGUAAAACUCGGUCCCCACCUUUCCUCCACCAUCACUCUAAGCACUGGCUCUCCACAAGGCUGUGUGCUGAGCCCACUACUGUACUCCUUGUACACCCAUGACUGUACUCCAACCCAUCCCACCAACACCAUCAUUAAAUUUGCUGACGACACCACCGUGAUCGGGCUCAUAUCAGAAGAUGACGAAUCAGCGUACAGGGAUGAAGUACAGAAACUGACAGUGUGGUGCUCAGACAACAAUCUGUCACUGAACACCACAAAAACGAAAGAAUUAAUUCUGGACUACAGAAGGCAAAGUGCAGUUCCGGCCCCACUCUACAUCAACGGGGACUGUGUGGAGAAGGUCCACACCUUCAAAUUCCUAGGAGCCAAUUUAUCAGAUGACCUCUCAUGGUCUGUCAACACCUCAGAGACAGUAAAAAAGGCACAGCAGCGACUACACUUCCUGAGAGUACUCAGGAAAAACAACCUGGAGUGUAAACUGAUGGUGGCCUUCUACCGCACCACUAUCGAAAGUGUACUAACCUACUGCAUCUCGGCGUGGUACUCCGGUUGCACCGCAGCA
rnacentral:lncRNA from 1 species